GUCAUGUUUUCCUAUUUCUCUAACUAAAACAAGAGUUUGCCAUGGAGAUGUUCUUGAAUUAGGCUUCACAUCUGUGGCAUUAUGGUUUACAGAAAUAAACCAGACUCCCUAGAAUUGGAGUCUGGAUUCUAGCUAGACAUGACUGUCCAGUGAUGUGACCUUGGGCAAUUUUCCUUAAUUCACAAGGCCUUACGUACCCUCUGGAGUUACCUAAAAUCUCUACCUUUAGAGAUUAAGGGAUAUUGAAUUUCACAAGAAUUCAUAAACCCAUAAACAAGAAUUCCAGAGAUGAAGGCAUCAGAUUGAUUGCCCUAUUGGAUCAGGAAGAGGCAGAAAGCUCCACCAUGAGGUGUGGGAAUAAAGAGCAGAUACAGUUGAUUGAGGUUGAGCGUGUCAAUGAAAGCAGAAAUGUGGUGGGGUAUCCUGGCAUCUGUAUACUGCUCUUCUUUACCCCAAGGACAUUCACGGUUGGCUGAGAUGCCUGGGAGUGACAUGGCUUGAGAGCAGGUUUUUGAAGGAUGAAAAGAGGAUAUUUGCCUAAAAGUGUCACCAGGAAGCAAAGAGAAAGCCAUUGUCCUUGUACUUGGCAAUAAAGUUCAAGAGUAAGACUAUAUCUGAGAUUGCAAAGAAAGAAUAGCAGGUUAAAUAUGGAGGCAUGGACAACAUUAUAAAAAGUGUAUCUUUGUUCAAGUAACACAUACUCAUUGUUGAAAAGUUAAAAGGUACAGAUAAUCACAAAAUAAACUCACUACAGAUAAGUGCAGAAAAAAUAAGCACUGUGAACAUUUUGCUGCACAUCAUUGCAGGCUUUUCAUAGAUAAACCUUCUGCAGGUGUAAAAAGUAUCAGAUUCAAAUAUCUGUGGGUUGUGCUUGCUAGACAACUCUUAAGCUGUGUAUUGUUAAAAUAAACCUUAUAUAAUGUAUUGUAGCUUAUUGUGAAAGGGUCAAGAAAUCAAGAUAGCUGUUUCUCUUAUUUCCAUUAAAAAUCUAUUCAUUUCAUGUUAGGAGGACAGUUAACUUGUUACCAAGCAGAACUGUAUUUAAAACAAAUUCGAAAACUAUUCAUAACCUAUAUGUAUUUAGUCCUGGUUAGACAUAAAGCUUCACAGUGCUGUUUUAUGCAUCACAUUAACCAGCUAUAAAACACACAGGACUUUAUCUAUAGCAGACAGAGAAUUUCAGGAUUUAUAUACAGAUACCCUACAAAGUCAUGUGAUUUUAAAAUCAGUGUUUUAUUAUUUAUUUAUUUAUUUAUUUAUUUUGAGAUGGAGUUUCGCUCUUGUUGCUCAGGCUGGAGUGCAAUGGUGCGAUCUCGGCUCACCGUAACUUCCGCCUUCCAGGUUCAAGUGAUUCUCCUGCCUCAGCCUCCUGAGUAGCUGGGAUUACAGGCAUGCGCCACCACACCCGGCUAAUUUUGUAUUUUUAGUAGAGACAGGGGUUCUCCAUGUUGGUCAGGCUGGUCUUGAACUCCUGACCUCAGGUGAUCCGCCUGCCUUGGCCUCCCAGUUCUGGGAUUACAGGCAUGAGCCACCGCACCCAGCCUUCAGUGUUUU
rnacentral:lncRNA from 1 species